rnacentral:rRNA from 1 species
GAUGAACGCUGGCGGCGUGCCUAAUACAUGCAAGUCGAGCGAACGGGCGAGAAGCUUGCUUUUCUGAUGUUAGCGGCGGACGGGUGAGUAACACGUGGAUAACCUACCUAUAAGACUGGGAUAACUUCGGGAAACCGGAGCUAAUACCGGAUAAUAUUUUGAACCGCAUGGUUCAAAAGUGAAAGACGGUCUUGCUGUCACUUAUAGAUGGAUCCGCGCUGCAUUAGCUAGUUGGUAAGGUAACGGCUUACCAAGGCAACGAUGCAUAGCCGACCUGAGAGGUGAUCGGCCACACUGGAACUGAGACACGGUCCAGACUCCUACGGGAGGCAGCAGUAGGGAAUCUUCCGCAAUGGGCGAAAGCCUGACGGAGCAACGCCGCGUGAGUGAUGAAGGUCUUCGGAUCGUAAAACUCUGUUAUUAGGGAAGAACAUAUGUGUAAGUAACUGUGCACAUCUUGACGGUACCUAAUCAGAAAGCCACGGCUAACUACGUG